GUCUACGGCCAUACUACCCUGAACGCGCCCAAUCUCAUCUGAUCUCGGAAGCUAAGCAGGGUUGGGCCUAGUUAGUACUUGGAUGGGAGCAUACAGGAGGGCAAAUCAUGUAACAC
rfam:Felis catus isolate Cinnamon breed Abyssinian chromosome A3, whole genome shotgun sequence.